AUUGAACGCUGGCGGCGUGCUUAACACAUGCAAGUCGAGCGAGAAAGCUCUCUUCGGAGAGUGAGUAGAGCGGCGCACGGGUGAGUAACGCGUGGAUAAUCUGCCCUGAAGAUCGGGAUAACAGUUGGAAACGACUGCUAAUACCGUAUAAUCUGCAUAUUUAACUUUAUGUGGGAAAGGUGGCCUCUAUUUAUAAGCUACCACUUUUGGAUGAGUCCGCGUCUCAUUAGCUUGUUGGUGGGGUAAUGGCCUACCAAGGCAACGAUGAGUAGCUGGUCUGAGAGGAUGAUCAGCCACACUGGGACUGAAACACGGCCCAGACUCCGACGGGAGGCAGCAGUGGGGAAUAUUGCGCAAUGGGGGAAACCCUGACGCAGCGACGCCGCGUGUAGGAAGAAGGCCUUCGGGUCGUAAACUACUGUCAAGAGGGAAGAAACCGUAGAGCAUUAAUACGGCUCUGCGCUGACGGUACCUCUAGAGGAAGCACCGGCUAACUCCGUG
rnacentral:rRNA from 1 species